rnacentral:tRNA from 1 species
AUUUAUAUAGUUUAAAAAAAACAAUACAUUUUCAUUGUAUAAAUAAUGUUUAUUAUAUUUAUAAAUA